rnacentral:rRNA from 1 species
UACGUAGGGGGCGAGCGUUGUCCGAAGUUACUGGGCGUAAAGAGCGCGUAGGCGGCCGCUUAAGUGACUGGUGAAAUCCCCGGGCUCAACCCGGGAGGGUCUGGUCAUACUGGGCGGCUGGAGUGUGGGAGAGGUGAGCGGAACUCCUGGUGUAGCGGUGAUAUGCGUAGAGAUCAGGAAGAACACCCGUGGCGAAGGCGGCUCACUGGACCACAACUGACGCUGAGGCGCGAAAGCCAGGGGAG